rnacentral:rRNA from 1 species
AACGAACGCUGGCGGCGUGCUUAACACAUGCAAGUCGAACGAGUGGCGGACGGGUGAGUAAUGUAUGGGGACUGCCCGAUAGAGGGGGAUAACUACUGGAAACGGUGGCUAAUACCGCAUACUAUCGGAUAACCCAUAUGGGAUUAGCUAGUAGGUAAGGUAAUGGCUUACCUAGGCGACGAUCCCUAGCUGGUCUGAGAGGAUGAUCAGCCAAACGGGGACUGAGACACGGCCCAGACUCCUACGGAGGCAGCAGUGGGGAAUAUGGCACAAUGGGCGAAAGCCUGAUGCAGCCAUGCCGCGUGUAUGAAGAAGGCCCUAGGGUUGUAAAGUACGUUCAGUCGGGAGGCGUUACCGACAGAAGAAGCACCGGCUAACUCCGUGCCAGCAGCCGCGGUAAUAC